UACGUAGGGGGCAAGCGUUGUCCGGAAUUAUUGGGCGUAAAGGGCUCGUAGGCGGUCCGUCACGUCGGGAGUGAAAACUCAGGGCUCAACCCUGAGCGUGCUUCCGAUACGGGCGGACUAGAGGUAUGCAGGGGAGAACGGAAUUCCUGGUGUAGCGGUGGAAUGCGCAGAUAUCAGGAGGAACGCCGGUGGCGAAGGCGGUCCUCUGGGCAUUACCUGACGCUGAGGAGCGAAAGCAUGGGGAGCGAACAGG
rnacentral:rRNA from 1 species